UUGUAACUAUCUAUUAGUAAUAAAAUGACAUUUAGUUAGUGACAUUUAUGAUAAAUGUAAACAAGUUACUACUUGUUUUUCUUGGUAAAAAUAAAAUUACUACUUACAAAUUUCAAAAAGAGAUGGUAUAUAUUUUGCAAAACUUCCCCCAAAAUUUCCCUAAAAUCUCCCAAAAAAACCCUACUCCCUGCAAUAUCCCUCUCUCAAAAGUCAUAACAUUCAAGUUCAUAUCCCCCUUCCCAAUUUCUCUAUCCCCUCCAAAUCCCUCCACCCCAAACGUGAACCUCAAACACCUUCAGGAAUAGCAGUAUGAAAGUAUUCGUGUACUGUGUUGUUGCUUAAUUCUCUCUUUCCAUCUCUUUGUGUACUGACAUUGACACAUUGAAAAUCACCAUUUAUCUUUCUUUCUUGAUUUGAUUCGAAUUGCUCCUUCUUUCUGGAGUGUGUUUUGAUUUCAUGGAGGAAUUGAAUCAUGUUUAGAAGUAUUCUAAGUUCAGAAUUUCGAAGCGUAAUCUAUGUUGUGAUUUUAUUGUGUGAGUGUAAAAUAGAAUAUGUGGGGUGUUAUUGUACAAUAUACUAAUGUGGAUUAUCACAUUCACAGAUUAUGCCCUACGAGUGUUUGACAAAAUACCGCAAAGAGCAUUUUAAAUACUUUGACCUUUGGUCACCAACAAAGGUUUAUUCUAAUCUCAAGGUUGCACAACUCAUAUGCCUCUCUAUUCAGAAAGAUAGCUAACAAUGCUUAUUGUCUAUUGUUUCCUUCCACACCUCUAUUGUUAAAAUGUACUGAUGGCUAUGCUGGUUGAUUAGCUAAAACAUAAGGUUGCACACAUGUGAUUGGCCUGAGUUUGUUGGAUAUGGAGUGGCAAUGAGAAAGUCUAGUGUGGCAUCUUAUGGUAAGGUCCUAUAGAUUUGACGGCCAACAACUUCAUUCUUUCUUAAAGUUGUGUUUUCUACUCAUAAGGAUUUCUCGUUCGUUGAUAGAAGAUACUCGUGGAAUAGUUCAGUUGGUUGCUCUACUGCAUAAAGAUGAUGCUAGUGGUAAAGAAGUUUCACUAUAUAACUUAAUAUUUUUAAAUUAUUCUUGCAUGUAGAUUAUGAUAUCUUCUUGUAACUUUCAACUACUUGCAAAUUUAUAACACAUUUUAUAAAAAUAUAGAUUGAAACCUCAGACAA